rnacentral:lncRNA from 1 species
GUUUGGGCAGACUCCGGGAGUUGGUGAUGGACAAGGAGGCCCGGCGUGCUGCGGUUCAUGGAAUCUCAAAGAGUCGGACACGACUGAGCGACUUAACUGAACUGAACUGAACUGAAGUGCUCAGUAAAUAAUUGCGGCUUGAAUGGACCACAAUGGAGAGGAAAGGAACCCCUGUUCGUUGAGCACCUACUAUGCUGGGUUCUAUGCUGAGAUGUUUAUGUCUGUUGAGAGAUGACACACCAGCGAGUCUUGGAGUUAAAAAGUGGUGAAGCCAGAAUACAAGGCCAGAGAUACAUCGCUUCACACCCUGAAGUUUGCCAUCACCAGAAAUUAUUUUCAACGUUCAGUGGUUCCUGUUCUCCCAUGCCCUCUGCGGCCUCUUUCUGAGGCAUCUGAAGCUCCCAGACUGGGUUAUGACAUCCCCCUGUUGUUGCUUGUAUCUUUCUGUGCUGCCUUAGUCUCCAGAGGAAUGGAUCUGAUGAUACUUUAUUCAGCACAGUAAACAUUCCAUGUUGCUGGUUCUCUGUGUAAAGCUGAUUGAAUCAUUUUCUCAUAUUAUGGACACAGCUCAUGCUACUCGAAUAUGGUGGUGAAUUCCACCAAGUUGUACUGACUUGUGACAAAAAGCCUCCAAAGGGAAAGAAAUGUAUCUUCUGCUAAUCACCAGAGACUGAUGCAAUCAGAGGGGUUGAUGACAAGCAGUUCAGAUGGUCACGGCUUAGAAGGUGACGUGUGCCAAGACAUGAGGAAAACACUGGGAUAAAAACAAGGAGUAAAUAACUCUGAAAUAACAUUGAUUCUGACCACAGGGUAAUCCAUAAAUUUGAAUGGGGGAAAGAGCUCUCUUGUCCUUAACAGAACUUUUCACCUCCUUCAGGUGAAGUUUGUAUGAGAUGUGGUGAUCCAUUGUGGUCCAGUUUACAAAACAUGUUGAGGACAGCAACUGCUCAGCUUGGAUGCAUCCAAACCCUCUGAAGAACUAUUAAUGCAGGGACCUGGGGACCUGCCUUAGUUAAUAGGCAUACAGGGAGAGCCUUCUAGAGGAUAACCAUCACCAUCUUUCACUGGGCUUCCCUGGUGGCUCAGCUGGUAAAGAAUCUGCCUGCAACGCAGG